rnacentral:rRNA from 1 species
AGUCAAUAGAUACCCAGGUAGUCCACGCCGUAAACGAUGAGUACUAGGUGUAGGAGGUAUCGACUCCUUCUGUGCCGCAAGUUAACACAAUAAGUACUCCGCCUGGGAAGUACGGUCGCAAGAUUAAAACUCAAAGGAAUUGACGGGGCCGCACAAGCAGCGGAGCAUGUGGUUUAAUUCGAAGCAACGCGAAGAACCUUACCUAGACUUGACAUCUCCUGAAUAGCGCAGAGAUGCGUGAAGCCCUUCGGGGCAGGAAGACAGGUGGUGCAUGGUUGUCGUCAGCUCGUGUCGUGAGAUGUUGGGUUAAGUCCCGCAACGAGCGCAACCCCUAUUAUUAGUUGCUACCAUUAAGUUGAGCACUCUAAUGAGACUGCCCGGGGUUAACCGGGAGGAAGGCGGGGAUGACGUCAAAUCAUCAUGCCCCUUAUGUCUAGGGCUACACACGUGCUACAAUGGUGAGAACAACGAGAUGCAAUACCGCGAGGUGGAGCAAAACUUGAAAACUCAUCUCAGUUCGGAUUGUA